rnacentral:rRNA from 1 species
CAGUCGCCGCGGUAAUACGUAGGUCCCGAGCGUUGUCCGGAUUUAUUGGGCGUAAAGGGAGCGCAGGCGGUUUAGUAAGUCUGAAGUUAAAGGCAUUGGCUCAACCAAUGUAUGCUUUGGAAACUGUUAGACUUGAGUGCAGAAGGGGAGAGUGGAAUUCCAUGUGCAGCGGUGAAAUGCGUAGAUAUAUGGAGGAACACCGGUGGCGAAGCGGCUCUCUGGUCUGUCACUGACGCUGAGGCUCGAAAGCGUGGGUAGCGAACAGGAUUAGAUACCCCAGUAGUCCCUGUCUCUUAUACAC